CUAUCAAAGCAUGAAGCGAAAACAACUUGCAAACAUAAAUAUACAAUGGAAGCAAUGUGUUUACAUUUUUUGGUUUCCAUAUUUGAGUACAGAGUAAGAUGAUGAUUCAAAUGUACAGUAUUUUUCAAUCAGACCUGAGUUACAAAUAUGGGCCAUACAGUUUCAUUAUUAUGUGCAGAUUUGGGUUUUUUAAAUGAAUUUAGUAGAUCUUGUACCUUAAACACAUGCUUAAUUGAAAUACAGCUCAUAAAAUAAGAUAUUGAAUGCAAAUCCAAUCUAAUCCAAUAGUCAUUUGAUAUACAUGAAGUGCCCUUUCCUUUCGGUCAGCAAGCACUGCGUAUGCACACACUACUCCAUGUUUGGGCCACUAAAACAAUAAUUAAACACCUUGGUUAUAUUUUGACCGGAAAUUUAAAUUUUGUGCCUCUGAGAAGCAUUCAACUGUACUUAUGUGUAACAGAGAUGAAUUUAAUCCAUUAAUUUAUGGGAAUUUUCUUUCUCAUAGAAAAGGUAGAAUGAUUUAAUACAAAUUCACCCCCUAUGGUCCUUUAAUAUGGAAGAAUAUAGAUGGACAAUUUGGAGGAUCAAAGGGAUUAUACACCCAGAAAUUUUCAUCUUCAGGCAAAUAUUACAUGUACACAUAUACUGGGUUUUUUCACAUAUUAGCUUUUAUAAAGGAACAUGUUACAGAUGAAACCUAAUGAUUUUUUUUUCAAUUUAUCCCCAUGGUAACUGGUAAUGUUGUGACGUCAAGAGCACACAAUAGGUUCACCUCGGUAACAAUCACAUGAAAAAUUAAGUAUUCUCUGCAAAGGAGAUCUUGAAGUCCAGUAGGGUGGAGUUCAUUCAUUGAAUGUUUUAUUUGAUAUUUUUAUCAGUGCACAGUCCAACAAAAGGAUGUAAAGAAUGAUUAGUUCGUGUACAGCUGGGGCUCAAUAAUUACUAUAGCUGCAUGGCAUCUAUCGGAACUCUACUGGUAAUAGGCUGUGAUUAGAGUUCAAAUGAUGUUGAUCAAAACACUCAGUAUUUAUUCCACAAUAAUGCAAUGCCAUUCCUGAUUAAUCACAUGAUAACAAGACUUAUGAGGAAACAACAACGAAAAGGUGUGUAUACCUCUUAUGGACAUUUAUAAUCAAAAUGUGUUGUUUAUAUCUGGUUGUAGUAUGCUAAUGAUCUAGUACAAACAUGGCUGUAUGGUAGAGUUUGAUUGGCAAUUAGCUUUACAUUUGCCAUUUUUCAGAUGAAUAAUCUUUGCUUGUAUAUGUACCUAAGCGUCAUUGCUGUUGAAUGUGUUCCAAAUUGCAGAAGAAUGAUAUUUACUCAUGCAUAAAUCAUUAGUAUAGAGAGAUCGGACAAGGAUGGAGAAUCUUUAGUCAAAAGGCAUGCUGAAAAAUAACAUGUUGAAAAAUUACUUUAUAUUUUCCCUCUUCAGAUGAAAUUAUAUUCGAUUUAGAUAUUCAGUGUAUCCCGGGAAUAAGGAAACCUUUAUUUAGAAAUGGAUAUUGCACUCAUCAAAUUCUUUUUUUCUUUUUUUUUUAGACUAAAUUACUAUUUUGGCUAUCCUGGUUACUUAUUGGUGGUUUUGGGAUGGUAGGUCACAUAACAAAUGACACUUUAAAAUACAGAUGUGCCAUCAUUUUCUUACGCAAGCUUGAAUUAUUCUAAGACAUCUUCUUGAUCAAAUAUUCCUCAUGAUCUGAUCGUUAUUUCCUUGAAAUUUCAGACCUUGUGUCAUCUGCUUAUUAUGCUAUGAUAUUUCAAACUCUUCAAAACAAAGAGGAAUUACUGUGCUUCAUAAUGAUAUAUUAUGAAUGCAGUUGCUUGUGCUGAAAACAAGUAUUGGUUUCCGUGUCAUGGGAUGUACUAUAUUUUCAUUGAAUAUGCACUAUGUUAUAUUAUUGGAUUUUAGAAUGGGCAUUAUUUUUUCAUCUUUCUAUGUGUCAUGGCUUGGGUUUGUUUUGUCUGUGCAUUAGUGACUUCGGCAUUGAAAUUUUUGAAUUCUUUAGCAAUUAACCUGCACUCUUAAAGUUAUAAAAGGAUUAUAUUAUUCUUUAUACUUCAAUGCGGAAUCAUUUUCCAAUUUUCUACCAUCUUUCUUGUAAUUAGAUUUGUUUUGAAGUCAUAUGUUAUUUCUAUGAAAUGGAUUUAACUUCAAGAAAUUCCAAAGGAAGUACUUAUUUAACCUCUUGGUUCCUUUUUUUUCACAUUUCCAACUCUAGCACAUUGCAAUAUACGUCUAAAUGGUCAAAUUAUUAUAUUAUCUUCUACAUUUUUUCUUUGUCAUGGAUGAACUUUUGUUGAAAAUAAAUGUGUCUCAACUCAUUUUCUCUUUCUUUUGCACUCUCCCCAUUCUCAAAAUCAUUUUUCUUGUAUGUUUGCUGUUAGAUUUAUUGCUUUGUAGUCUGAACAUGUUUUAAUCUGGUGGUAUGUUUAUGGAGUCUUUGCUAUACUGUAAUUAUUGGAUAAUGAGGUUUAAUGUAGAAAUAGUCAGUAUACAACAUUUCUUUUGUCACGUACGGUAUACCCCUCUUCCCACACAAUGCCUGCCCGUCUCCACGUCUCAACCAUUACCUUCGUGCUCCACCAAGAUUACUUUUAAUGCCUUUAUAACAGAUGUAGUAUAAUACAUGACAUAUUAACAUAUCAUAUCUUUUAAUAUAUCAGUUGUUAUAUUAUAGCAUGGAUAUCUCACAGAACGUGAUAAGACGUCCAAACAGUCUUUGCAGAAGGUGAUUACAUGUUAUGACAAUGCAUUUGAACUACUACAGAUUAUAUGUGAAAUGUAUUAGAUUUAAAGAGAUGAAAUAUAUGAUAACAUAAAUAUAAAGAGUUUAUACAUGAAUUAUAGUGAAUUAUCUUUCAUUUCUUAUAUGAAAGUGCAAUAAAAAUUGAAUGUGUGUCACAUCAGGUGCCUAUCUCAGCAUUUUGCUGUAUUGCAUAAUGAUGGUAUAUAGUUUGCCACAUGUACAGAAGUAUAAAGCUAUGUGAAAGAUAUAUAUACUUGUUUCAGAGUUGAAGGAAAUGUUUGUUGUAUGGUAUAUCCACUGAGGAGAUGGAUAUGUAUUGUGAUAACUGAAAGGAUAAACGGAAAAAAUAGCAUCUGUUUGAAUUUCAGUAUUUGUAGAAACCUCAGUUUUAUAUGGAGUUUCUGGUGACUAUAGGUGGCAAGUCUUUCAAUUUGUCACGUUUAUGAACAGUUAAGAAAGAAUUUAAUUGUUAUUUCGUUUUGUGCCUUUUCAUUAGGAUAUGAGGAAUAUCAAAUGUCAUUCUAACCCAGGUAAAACAUGUUUUAUUUGAAAGCAGUAAAAGCUAAAUUUAUAAGAUGUUGAAAGUUUGAAGGAGAUAAGUUAUUGGAUUAUGAGAUUUUUCUGAAGGGGGUCAAAGAUUUAGUGAGUCCAUUGAAACUAUAAAUUUUAGACAACUCAACUCUCUUUUUGUAAUACGCUUCAAUAUCAUUAUCAGUCAUUUUGUUAAAGUGAACAUCCCAUAGGAACUUUAUAACAAAUCUAUUACACCAUCUUUGUUUGAUUUUGUUCAAAUCUUCAUCAAUCCCAUUCUCUUGGUUUUUUUUCACCUUUCCCAAAACGACUUGUUUUAAGCACUAAAUUUCCCUGUAAUGACCCUAUCCAGUAAAACUAUGAGGAAAAACUAAAUGAACCGUUGCCUCACUACUAUAAUGAUGCUAUCUUCAAAAGAUCUGAUAUAGCUUAGUGUUGAUUAAGAAGAAAUAGAUUCUUUUUGUAGGGAAUAAUAGAAAAUUGUAUUAAUUAUAUUCUAGUCCUGUAUCGAUUAGAAGGAUGGUAGUGCUUUAAAGAAAAUGAUAGUGUUAGAGAUAUAACAAUAUGAUGAAUAGAUCAUUUAAACAAUUUAUUUCAAUUUUGAAAAAAAAAAAAUUGGGGGACAGUGUGAGUGUUUUUUUUUUUCAUUUACAUUGUCAUGAGGACCACCAUAUGGUACGUAUGCUCUGUGUAAUGUAAAUAGUGGAGAAUUGUUAUCGUUUUGUAAAUACACAAACCACGUGAUUGCCAUGUAACAAAUGUUCUAAUAGUGAUAGCGUUUCAUGUAUAUACACACAGAGAUAAAUUGCCUUUGUAUUGUGUAACGUUAUGGUGAAGUACUCAGCAUUCUCAUUUUAUUGUUCUGAAAUAUUUUAUUUAUGUGAUGUGCAGGAGGAAUUUAUAUUUUUUGCUGUUUUGACAUUUUCAUUUGUAACACAAAUAAAGACAUUGUUCCAUGUA